rnacentral:ncRNA from 1 species
AGUGGAGCCUGCGGCUUAAUUUGACUCAACACGGGAAACCUCACCCGGCCCGGACACGGAAAGGAUUGACAGAUUGAUAGCUCUUUCUCGAUUCUGUGGGUGGUGGUGCAUGGCCGUUCUUAGUUGGUGGAGCGAUUUGUCUGGUUAAUUCCGAUAACGAACGAGACUCCGGCAUGCUAACUAGUUAUGCGGCCCCGAGCGGUCGGCGUCCAACUUCUUAGAGGGACAAGUGGCGUUCAGCCACACGAGAUUGAGCAAUAACAGGUCUGUGAUGCCCUUAGAUGUCCGGGGCUGCACGCGCGCCACACUGAGCGGAUCAGCGUGUGUCUACCCUUCGCCGAGAGGCGUGGGUAACCCGCUGAACCCCACUCGUGAUAGGGAUUGGGGAUUGCAAUNNNNNNNNNNNNNNNNNNNNAAUUGAUCUUAAAAGUAUU